rnacentral:lncRNA from 1 species
CAUUCAACAGGUACGUCUCUGUCUUCACCAUCUACUACGACAGAAGGACAAAGUACAUCAGAAUUCACUUCAUCAACAACAGAAACAUCUCCAUCCAGUGCAGAGCAAAUAACAAGCCAGCAGACACAAACCAUUCAGUUAAGUACUACCACAGAAAAAGAAUCUGCAACAACAAGUGAAUCAACAUUUACAACAGCUGUGUCCCUUCUGAGCACAACCACAACAGAAUCAUUAACAAGUGAAAGUGGUUCAACACUGGGAAAAACAUCAUUCCCAACAGAUUCUACUCCAUCUUCACCAUCGUCUACAACAAUCGGACAGACAACAGCAGAAUUCACUUCAUCUACAACAGAAACAUCCCCAUCCAGUGCAGAGCAAAUAACAAGCCAGCAGACACAAACCACUCAAUAUACUUCUGCCACUGAAACAGAAUCUACAACAACAGAUCCAUCAACAUUUACAACAGCUGUAUCCCCUUUGAGCACAACCACAACAGAAUCAUUAACAAGUGAAAGUGGUUCAACACUGGGAAAAACAUCAUUCCCAACAGAUUCUACUCCAUCUUCACCAUCGUCUAAAACAGAAGGUCAGACGACGUCAGAAUUUACUUCAUCUACAGCAAUAUCUUCAUCUAGUGUAGAACAAGCAACAAGCCAGCAGACACAAACCACUCAAUAUACUUCUGCCACUGAAACAGAAUCUACAACAACAGAUCCAUCAACAUUUACAACAGCUGUAUCCCCGUUGAGCACAACCACAACAGAAUCAUUAACAAGAGAAAGUGGUUCAACACUGGAAACAACAUUAUCCACAUCAGAUACUUCUCCAUCUUCACCAUCGUCUAAAACAGAAGGUCAGACGACGUCAGAAUUUACUUCAUCUACAGCAAUAUCUUCAUCUAGUGUAGAACAAACAACAAGCCCGCUGACACAAACCACUCAAUAUACUUUGACCACUGGAACUGAUUCUACAACAUUAGCUCCAACAACAUUUACAACAACUUUGUCCCCUCUGAGCACAACCACUGCUGAACAAACAAGUCAGCAGACACAAACCACUAUUUCAAUUUCAAGCACAGAAAUACAUUCAACACAGUCAAUUCAUUCGACAUUUCUACCACUGGAAACCAUUGGAUCAAGUUCUCCAGGCUCACCUGCCUCACUCACUACAACUUCCCCCAUUUUUGUAAAUGACUCAGUUACUUGGUCUGAAAGCACACCCACAAGGAAUGCAAGUAUCUCUCUCGAAAUUAUGAUGCACUAUCUUACGCAGUAUGAAGAUGUGAACUCUCCAGAAUCAAAAAAACUAAUUUCCAUCUUAAAACGUGAGCUUUCAAUCCUUUGUAAAAGAGCAGAUGCACAAAAUUUCAAGGAUGUGCAAAUACAUAGGCUAAGGAACGGAAGUGUCAUUGCUGAAAGUAUUGCAGUGUACAACUAUCCCAACAACAACUCACAAAUAAUGUUUCUAAAUAACGAUUUGGGACCCACCCUGGAAAAAAUCUUUAAUGACUCAGAUUCAUUAAAAAAUCUCAGCAUAGCUCUCGAUAAUGCUUCCAUCCAAAAUGCAGAAAUUACCAUGGGGACAGUUGAAAGGGGGGGGGGGGGGACAGAUAACCUUCAUUUAAAUUUUCUUUUUUUUUUUAAGCUAGACUUAAUUUAA